AAGAUUGAUAGAGGCGCAGUAAAAAUGAGUAUCUAUGGGAGAAGACAUUCGUUGAACAUAGAAAAAGGUGCUACUGCCGAAACAUCAAAUGGGUACAUUUGAGAGUUGGGUUGCAAUGAAAGACAUUGCAAACUCCUACAAUAUUUGUAGAGGAGCUAUUGAUACA
rnacentral:ncRNA from 2 species